rnacentral:tRNA from 1 species
UGGGCCUGUAGUUUAACGGCAAAAUACCUCGUUUGCACCGAGGAGCUCCGUGUUCAAUUCACGGUAGGUCCAU